AGUGAACGCUGGCGGUAGGCCUAACACAUGCAAGUCGAACGGCAGCACAGAGGAGCUUGCUCCUUGGGUGGCGAGUGGCGGACGGGUGAGGAAUACAUCGGAAUCUACUCUGUCGUGGGGGAUAACGUAGGGAAACUUACGCUAAUACCGCAUACGACCUACGGGUGAAAGCAGGGGAUCUUCGGACCUUGCGCGAUUGAAUGAGCGGAUGUCGGAUUAGCUAGUUGGCGGGGUAAAGGCCCACCAAGGCGACGAUCCGUAGCUGGUCUGAGAGGAUGAUCAGCCACACUGGAACUGAGACACGGUCCAGACUCCUACGGGAGGCAGCAGUGGGGAAUAUUGGACAAUGGGCGCAAGCCUGAUCCAGCCGUACCGCGUGGGUGAAGAAGGCCUUCGGGUUGUAAAGCCCUUUUGUUGGGAAAGAAGUCCAUCUGGUUAAUACCCGGGUGGGAUGACGGUACCCAAAGAAUAAGCACCGGCUAACUUCGUGCCAGCCGCCGCAGUAA
rnacentral:rRNA from 1 species